GCUGCUGUUGGGAGACCCUGGUCUGCACUCUAUCUGUAUGCAUAUUGAAGGGAGUGCAGGGCAGGGUUUCCCAUACAGAGGGC
rnacentral:pre_miRNA from 14 species